AUGCUCGCACGUUUAUCACUAUGGAGACAAAAGCCCCCCCACGCCGGUUGUCUAGGAGAUGGCAACGGGGGCCCGGAGCUCGUCCCGGCGUCCCCAGCGAGCGAUGGGGGAAGGGGCAGGGAGAAAGGGACCCCCCCGGCCCCCCUGCCAGCACCCCCCCCCCCCCCCCCCCCUUCUUCUGGGCUUUGUUGGGAGGCCGGCAUCGGGUUUCUGGCAGGAACAAUGCGAGGGCCGACGCAGGGGGGCCACGGCUGGGCUUUCCCCCCCCCGACCCUAUUCAUUAGCGCCACGACGAAGGGGCCUUGCCACCGCUGGCUGCUCCCGCCCGAGGGGACAGCCGGGUCCCCGCGGGGCGGUGGGGGACAGCUCGGGGACUCACCGGAGGGGCGCUGGGGCUGGAGACGGGCGCUGUCCCCCCCGCGGGCGGUCACCGGGGCGCUCGGGGCAUCCUCAGCGGGCGGCGGGGACGGCAUCCAGCUGGCGGCCGCCGCGGCAUGGGGGCCGCUCACGGGUCGGGCGUCCGCGCCGGGGCUCCGAGCUGGGGGGGGGGAAAAAGGGAAAGGGGAUGAGCAGAGAAGCGUCUCCGUCCCUGGCAGCGGCCGGCAGGAGCGGUGUCCCCUCCCCUGGGGGCGCGUCGCCCCCGGAUUGUCACGCCAAAGAGGACCACGAGCGUCCUGCGCCCCAGCACGUGUCCACCACGAGCCGGUGUCCUUGUCCCCACCCGUCACUGCCCAGCCACCAGCGAGGGACGGGGCUCACCGAGGGUGUCGCCGGUUACGAGAGCCCCGGCAGAGCCGUGGUGGCAUUAGGCAGCUCUGGUGGCAUCGCGCUGCAGAACGCCCCCCGGGGCGGAGGGAACGGCGCGGCCCCCGCGCCCUCUGCGCCCCCAGCCCCACGCUCCGGCAUCACGCAGCCGGCUGCCACCUCCCUGCUGCCCCUCGCCGUCACCCUACAGAAGGGGCAAAGCCCCCCCUCCGGCAUCCCCUCGGGGUCCUGGCCCCAUCCAGACCCAGUCCCUCAAAACUCAGCCAAAAUCAGGAGGGGGUUUCGGCGCGUCCCCGCCACCCGAGGGACCGCAGCCCUCCAGCAGCCCCGCGGGUUCAACGCUGCCCAAACACCCCACGCAGGACCAUCCCUCAGCGAACCAGGACAAAAUCCAGGCAGGCGUUUCUAACGGGAGCGAGCAAUUAG
rnacentral:lncRNA from 1 species